GGAAAGUUUUACUUUUACUUCUGGACCCACUGGGUAGCCUCAGGGCACGUGACAGUGUUCUCUAUUCCUAGUUAUGUUUGCAAGGGUAAAACAUAGAAGUUCUGUGGCUUUCAAACACACAAGCAACAACCACUACACAAAAACCUAUGGCGCUUCUUGGGUUGGGAUUUUGAGAUUGAACCCUAGGCGUUUCCUAAGCAAAACGAGGCCUACGUGGGAGAAGCAAGAGGCAUGACUGAGGUCUUUUGGACUCUACCAUGUUUCAAUGAGGGGCUUUUAUAGCAGAGCACCGACUAUGGUAUGAAGUGCUUUUCCAAUGCUGAAAAAAGUAGCACUUUGUUUUUCACUGGCCAUUACUGUUUGUGGGUAGCCUCCCCAAGGCUUCUGAAGAGAAGGAGACAUGAGGGAUGGAUUUGGGUACCAACACUCAUCACAAAUCCUUAUCAGAUACCUCAAUGGGCUGCUGCCUCUAUCUGCAUGGUCUUCCUCUGGUACUGGAACCAUGUGAUAUAAAUUGCUGGUGAAUAAGUAUCUUGCUUAUAGAAACUCAGGCACCAACUGGAAGACCUAAAGGCUGUGGGUCAACUCCACCUGCAUCUAUGACAGCACAGCUCUAUAAACAAUGUUUAUAUGUUUUUAUUCAGAAAACAAAGAUAUCUCU
ensembl:lncRNA